rnacentral:rRNA from 1 species
GAUGAACGCUGGCGGCGUGCUUAACACAUGCAAGUCGAACGGUGAACACGGAGCUUGCUCUGUGGGAUCAGUGGCGAACGGGUGAGUAACACGUGAGCAACCUGCCCCUGACUCUGGGAUAAGCGCUGGAAACGGCGUCUAAUACUGGAUAUGUGACGUGACCGCAUGGUCUGCGUUUGGAAAGAUUUUUCGGUUGGGGAUGGGCUCGCGGCCUAUCAGCUUGUUGGUGAGGUAAUGGCUCACCAAGGCGUCGACGGGUAGCCGGCCUGAGAGGGUGACCGGCCACACUGGGACUGAGACACGGCCCAGACUCCUACGGGAGGCAGCAGUGGGGAAUAUUGUACAAUGGGCGCAAGCCUGAUGCAGCAACGCCGCGUGAGGGAUGACGGCCUUCGGGUUGUAAACCUCUUUUAGCAGGGAAGAAGCGAAAGUGACGGUACCUGCAGAAAAAGCGCCGGCUAACUACGUG